AGCGAACGCUGGCGGCAGGCCUAACACAUGCAAGUCGAACGGAUCCUUCGGGAUUAGUGGCGGACGGGUGAGUAACACGUGGGAACGUGCCCUUUGGUUCGGAACAACUCAGGGAAACUUGAGCUAAUACCGGAUGUGCCCUUCGGGGGAAAGAUUUAUCGCCAUUGGAGCGGCCCGCGUCUGAUUAGCUAGUUGGUGAGGUAAAGGCCCACCAAGGCGACGAUCAGUAGCUGGUCUGAGAGGAUGAUCAGCCACACUGGGACUGAGACACGGCCCAGACUCCUACGGGAGGCAGCAGUGGGGAAUCUUGCGCAAUGGGCGAAAGCCUGACGCAGCCAUGCCGCGUGAAUGAUGAAGGUCUUAGGAUUGUAAAAUUCUUUCAGCGGGGACGAUAAUGACGGUACCCGCAGAAGAAGCUCCGGCUAACUUCGUG
rnacentral:rRNA from 1 species